UACGUAGGGUGCGAGCGUUGUCCGGAAUUAUUGGGCGUAAAGAGCUCGUAGGCGGUGUGUCGCGUCGGCCGUGAAAACCUGGGGCUCAACCCCGAACUUGCAGUGGGUACGGGCAGACUAGAGUGUGGUAGGGGGAGACUGGAAUUCCUGGUGUAGCGGUGAAAUGCGCAGAUAUCAGGAGGAACACCGAUGGCGAAGGCAGGUCUCUGGGCCACUACUGACGCUGAGAAGCGAAAGCAUGGGGAGCGAACAGG
rnacentral:rRNA from 1 species